rnacentral:ncRNA from 1 species
AUAAAUACUAUGAAGAGAAAAAGUAACUAAAUCACUUGAUUAUAGAGAGUCAGAGAUGGUGGAAAUCUGAUAUCAAUACUUAGUGAACACAUCUUGGAGUAGAUAGGCUGAAGUUUAUAGUAGGUUUAUACGUUUGUCUGCGUUAAAGACUUAGAGUGGGAUAAGCAUUUAAUUAUUUUUUGUAUAUCCAAAAAGGGUGGCACCACGGGAAAAUAAUACACUUCUCGUCCCUAUA